AUAGAAGCAAUUUUAUUGAGGAUAAACAUUCAUAACAUCACAUUUUGAUCUCUCAAAAUGAAAGAGAAAGAAGAAAAUAUAUAAUAAAUAUAGAUUGUAUAACAUGUAAUUGAUGAUAACAGCAACUUAAAAGCUAAAAGGAAAUACUAUACCAAGUUAGCGCCUCAGCUUAUGAGAUCGGCUUAUCUACGGUAACAUGUGAUAUAUUUAGGAGGAAAAUCAGAGGUCUAUAAUGAAAUUAUAAUAGCUGUAGGAUUUCACGUGGAAUACUUUAACCCUAUACAGUGAGUAUGUUUUGGAAUUGUUAUUAUGUUGAGUAAUAUUACCAUUUGUUUUUGAAUAGAUAAAACAUGUAGAGCAUUCAUCAAUGUCUGAAAUAAUGUGAAUGUAACGAACACAUCCAUAUGUGUUGUUUUACUUUUGAUACGUGAACUUAAAUCAACAGAUAUUGUUUUAUUUUUUUUUAAAUAUUACGAUAAUGGCAGGAUUAUACUUUCUUUCCAUUUAAAAUUAAAUGAUCCUGUGGGAGGGUAAAUGUCCCCCAUUUCUUCUGGGAACAAAGACGGAGGUCGGUGUGUCCUUUUUCAUUUCUUUAUAUCUAUGUUGUUAAACCCUAUAUAUUCACUUUCAUUUCUCACAAGAUGUUUCUAUGACACACCAAAAUUGGGUCAGCUAUUGGCAUACCAACCCAUUUUGAUCAGAUUUAUGUUUCUUGCCAUUGGACUUUUAAUGACUCGAAAUGGCACGUAAACUUGACAUCUUCUCUGCAAAUUGCCAAGGCUUGAACAAUGAAAAAAAGAGAUUCAAUGUGAUUGAAAAUAUGAAAAAACUAAUUGGUAACAUGUAUUUAAUCCAGGAUACAGACUCUACUGAAAAUAUUGAACAGAAAGUCAAAUUAGAAUGGUGCUCUUCAGAAACCUGGCUUUAAUAUACCCUGGAUAUAUUAUACCCUAGACCAAACAACACAUGGGGUUAAAGCGGCCUAGGCUAGAAUAUACCCUGGAUAUAUUAUGGCCAAGGCCAA